rnacentral:rRNA from 1 species
UACGGGGGGGGCAAGCGUUGUUCGGAAUUACUGGGCGUAAAGGGCGCGUAGGCGGUUUGCUAAGUCGAAUGUGAAAACUCUGGGCUUAACCCAGAGCCUGCAUUCGAUACUGGCAGGCUAGAGUUCUGGAGGGGAUAGCGGAAUUCCUGGUGUAGCGGUGAAAUGCGUAGAUAUCAGGAGGAACACCGGUGGCGAAGGCGGCUAUCUGGACAGAGUCUGACGCUGAUGCGCGAAAGCUAGGGGAGCAAACAGG